rnacentral:rRNA from 1 species
GACAGAGGGUGCAAACGUUGUUCGGAAUUAUUGGGCGUAAAGGGCGCGUAGGCGGCUAGAUGUGUCAAAGGUGAAAUCCCUCGGCUCAACUGAGGAACUGCCUUUGAAACUGUCUGGCUUGAGGCCGGGAGAGGGUAGCGGAAUUCCCAGUGUAGCGGUGAAAUGCGUAGAUAUUGGGAGGAACACCAGUGGCGAAGGCGGCUACCUGGACCGGUUCUGACGCUGAGGCGCGAAAGCGUGGGUAGCAAACAGG